UACCCAUGAUGAGGACACAUACUCAACAGCUCCUUAAAUCUCUCCCAAGACUACAAAGUCUCACUGUCCUUUUGUGUAAAGGUGGAGAUUUGUCUUUUUAAUGCA